ACCCUGGUUGAUAACUAGGUGAACGGUCUCAAUCAACCCACGGCCUUUGCCCUUUAAGUAUCAGGGAGAUUACUGUUGAGGAACUUACACGGCUUCGGACUGCUCAAUGAUGUUUUGCUGUUUAUUUUCUCGCAACAUAC
rnacentral:snoRNA from 1 species